rnacentral:rRNA from 1 species
AUUGAACGCUGGCGGCAGGCCUAACACAUGCAAGUCGAGCGGAUGAAGGGAGCUUGCUCCUGGAUUCAGCGGCGGACGGGUGAGUAAUGCCUAGGAAUCUGCCUGGUAGUGGGGGAUAACGUCCGGAAACGGGCGCUAAUACCGCAUACGUCCUGAGGGAGAAAGUGGGGGAUCUUCGGACCUCACGCUAUCAGAUGAGCCUAGGUCGGAUUAGCUAGUUGGUGGGGUAAAGGCCUACCAAGGCGACGAUCCGUAACUGGUCUGAGAGGAUGAUCAGUCACACUGGAACUGAGACACGGUCCAGACUCCUACGGGAGGCAGCAGUGGGGAAUAUUGGACAAUGGGCGAAAGCCUGAUGCAGCCAUGCCGCGUGAGUGAAGAAGGUCUUCGGAUUGUAAAGCACUUUAAGUUGGGAGGAAGGGCAGUAAGUUAAUACCUUGCUGUUUUGACGUUACCAACAGAGUAAGCACCGGCUAACUUCGUG